CCUACGGGGGGCAGCAGUAGGGAAUAUUGCACAAUGGGCGAAAGCCUGAUGCAGCGACGCCGCGUGAGUGAUGAAGGCCUUCGGGUUGUAAAACUCUGUGAUAGGGGAAGAUGAUGACGGUACCCUAUCAGAAAGGACCGGCUAACUUCGUGCCAGCAGCCGCGGUAAUACGAGGGGUCCAAGCGUUGUUCGGAAUCACUGGGCGUAAAGCGGGUGUAGGCGGCCAAGCAAGUUGGAUGUGAAAGCCCCGGGCUCAACCCGGGAAGUGCAUCCAAAACUACUUGGCUUGAGUACGGUAGAGGAAGGUAGAAUUCCAGGUGUAGUGGUGAAAUACGUAGAUAUCUGGAGGAACACCGGUGGCGAAGGCGGCCUUCUGGACCAGUACUGACGCUCAGACCCGAAAGCGUGGGUAGCAAACAGGAUUAGAUACCCCAGUAGUC
rnacentral:rRNA from 1 species